CACUCCUGCGGGAGGCAGCAGUGGGGAAUUUUGGACAAUGGGCGAAAGCCUGAUCCAGCAAUGCCGCGUGUGUGAAGAAGGCCUUCGGGUUGAAAAGCACUUUUGUCCGGAAAGAAAUCCUUGGCUCUAAUACAGUCGGGGGAUGACGGUACCGGAAGAAUAAGCACCGGCUAACUACGUGCCAGCAGCCGCGGUAAUACGUAGGGUGCGAGCGUUAAUCGGAAUUACUGGGCGUAAAGCGUGCGCAGGCGGUUUGCUAAGACCGAUGUGAAAUCCCCGGGCUCAACCUGGGAACUGCAUUGGUGACUGGCAGGCUAGAGUAUGGCAGAGGGGGGUAGAAUUCCACGUGUAGCAGUGAAAUGCGUAGAGAUGUGGAGGAAUACCGAUGGCGAAGGCAGCCCCCUGGGCCAAUACUGACGCUCAUGCACGAAAGCGUGGGGAGCAAACAGGAUUAGAAACCCCAGUAGUCCCAUGAU
rnacentral:rRNA from 1 species